rnacentral:rRNA from 1 species
UACGUAGGGUGCAAGCGUUGUCCGGAAUUAUUGGGCGUAAAGAGCUCGUAGGCGGUCUGUCGCGUCGGCUGUGAAAACCCGGGGCUCAACCCCGGGCCUGCAGUCGAUACGGGCAGACUAGAGUGCGGUAGGGGAGACUGGAAUUCCUGGUGUAGCGGUGGAAUGCGUAGAGAUCCGGAAGAACACCGGUGGCGAAGGCGGUCUGCUGGGCAGUUGCUGACACUGAGGCGCGACAGCGUGGGGAGCAAACAGG